rnacentral:lncRNA from 1 species
GUGAUUCUGUGAUUAUGGGACCAUACCUUACUCCAUUCUUUGCUCUUUCUAAUUCCUUUUUAAAACCCAAUUUCCAAGAAUUAGAUGGAGACUGCUAUUAAAGUCUUUGAAGCUUACUACUGUGGGGAGAGGAUACCAGAAGAAGAGUCAUGGGAAGAGAAAGACAAGCUAUACACUCCUUCUCUUUUCCCCCUCCCCAUCCUCUCGAUCUUGACUUGAAUGAGGGGCUCUGCUGACUCCUAUCCCCACAGCUUCCCCAAUUCCAUGGAGUGUCACACAAUGGGAUGUAAACCUGGCAGUUUCUUGGCGGCUACAGCUCACUGUGAGAGCAGGUUUUAAUUACUCACCAAAUGAGAUUUUCUCUAUUGCUGAUGCACACAUUUUCAUGAUAUUUCACCAUUACCAUUGUAUUUGAUUCCAGGCAAUGCAAAGCAACAGGAUUCUGAUGACCAACAACCAUGUGCCCUGACCCAAGUGAGGUACUAAAUGGAGAAGAGACAAGAAUUUGAUUCUAGUCCUUAAAGGAGGUGUCUGCGGGUCAUGGAAACAUCUGAGUAACACAUGAAAAACAUUUGAGUAACCUUUGUGCUGGCUGUCCUCCCUGCCUGGAAUUAGCUUUCUCCUCACCUCAGCAUCUUAGAAUCUUCUGUCUCUUUUAAGAUUCAUCUCAAGUGCCAUCUUUGAUAAGAGGCCCUUACUGAUUUCCCCUCUUCCAAUUGCUUGUUCCCUCCCCCUAGUCACCUUUAAUUGAUUUUGCCUAUACAUCUGGUUCUCAUUUAGUGCAAAUAAUGAAUACUCUGAAUCCCUUGAAAUGGUCUCAUAUGUUUGAAUUUGCCCUGCUCAAAGUUAUAAUUACUUAAAAUGGUCAUUGAUUGAAUAAAUAAUGUCACAUGGGGCA